GACGAACGCUGGCGGCGUGCUUAACACAUGCAAGUCGAACGGAAAGGCCCUGCUUUUGUGGGGUGCUCGAGUGGCGAACGGGGGAGUAACACGUGAGUAACCUGCCCUUGACUUUGGGAUAACUUCAGGAAACUGGGGCUAAUACCGGAUAGGAGCUCCUGCUGCAUGGUGGGGGGUGGAAAGUUUCGGCGGUUGGGGAUGGACUCGCGGCUUAUCAGCUUGUUGGUGGGGUAGUGGCUUACCAAGGCUUUGACGGGUAGCCGGCCUGAGAGGGUGACCGGCCACAUUGGGACUGAGAUACGGCCCAGACUCCUACGGGAGGCAGCAGUGGGGAAUAUUGCACAAUGGGCGGAAGCCUGAUGCAGCAACGCCGCGUGCGGGAUGACGGCCUUCGGGUUGUAAACCGCUUUCGCCUGUGACGAAGCGUGAGUGACGGUAAUGGGUAAAGAAGCACCGGCUAACUACGUG
rnacentral:rRNA from 1 species